rnacentral:tRNA from 1 species
GGCCCCGUCGUCCAAUGGUCAGGACAUCAGGUUUUCAACCUGGGAACGCGGGUUCGAUUCCCGCCGGGGCUA